CAACGAGGAGAGAAACGAGCCGAGCGAAGUCUGGAGACUCACGGCUGUAUAUGAUUGCUGUUUGUUCCUGUUAGUUUAUAAAACUGUGUGCGUCCAGAGGAAAAACCACACACACACACAAACACCACACACGGCUCUACAAGUUCAUACAUGCAUAGAUGUAUGCAAAGUUGGAUCUAUGCCGUCUUUAAGGAACAUUUAAGCACAAGGCAAUACAAUCAUCAUCAUCCAGUAUCCAUGCCCAUUCCAUGUAUGUGGUUAGAAGACGUUAACAUACAAGUUACAACUGGCUCCCCCUCUGCAUAUGACUGUAAUCAAUAAACCAUUCAAGUAUAUUCCUUCUCCGGCUUUGGUGUUCUAACCAACACACCCAGACCAACUCAACUCCCCUAUUCAAGAGCUAGCUAUUACAGUCCUGAACUAUUCUCAUUAACA
ensembl:processed_transcript